AGCGAACGCUGGCGGCAGGCCUAACACAUGCAAGUCGAACGAACUCUUCGGAGUUAGUGGCGGACGGGUGAGUAACACGUGGGAACGUGCCUUUUGGUUCGGAAUAACUCAGGGAAACUUGUGCUAAUACCGAAUGUGCCCUUCGGGGGAAAGAUUUAUCGCCAUUAGAGCGGCCCGCGUCUGAUUAGCUAGUUGGUGAGGUAACGGCUCACCAAGGCGACGAUCAGUAGCUGGUCUGAGAGGAUGACCAGCCACACUGGGACUGAGACACGGCCCAGACUCCUACGGGAGGCAGCAGUGGGGAAUAUUGCGCAAUGGGCGAAAGCCUGACGCAGCCAUGCCGCGUGAAUGAUGAAGGUCUUAGGAUUGUAAAAUUCUUUCACCGGGGACGAUAAUGACGGUACCGGGAGAAGAAGCCCCGGCUAACUUCGUG
rnacentral:rRNA from 1 species